GAGAAAUAUUGAUGCCGUAUCAUUAUAAUAAACCAGUUGUCAGCAUGCAUUAAAAUUGGAUCUUGCCAGUCACGGAAAACCUUUGAAUACGUACAAUCCAGAAAGUCAGUUUAUACAAGACCUUCGAGAGAAAGAAGUCAAGCUGCUCAACGGAUUAAUG